rnacentral:lncRNA from 1 species
UAAAAUUGACGAAUCAAACAAAAUAUUAUAGUAGGAUAAGAUAAGUGUAUCCUAUCCUAAAAUAGGAUUAAUAGCAACUACCCUAAAACAUAGAUAACAACAUACAAACAUAAACUAACUAACUAAUCCAACAAUCCUUAACUACUUUAACUAUUCUAAUUUUUCUAUAUCUUAACAAUACACUUCUCUUUAAAACAACCUUGUCCUUAAGGUUGCAAACUAUUCUCGGAAAAUAAUAAAAUACAAUUUCCCACUUAGAUUUGGAUCCCAUAUUGGAGAUUCACUGUUGAGUUUCAUAUACACUUUUGUCUACAAGUUCCUGCCAUAACAACAAACCCACUAAAUUCUGAAUUGGACUCAGCGUGCCUUGGCUUAGACCCAACAAAGUAUGGCAUCUAAUUAGAUUAUCCAUUUUCCUUGUUUUGUGAACUAGAAGGUUAUAAUCAGAUUGGCCCGAGCCCAUUAGGUCUAAAAUUGGACCUAACAUUAACGAGGCUCAUUUUGUUUGUUUCUCUCUCUUCUUUGUCGACCUUAUUCUCACCUCAGCUGCGACCGAUCUGGUUAUGUCAAGUUUCUUGAACGCAUAAUCGAACAUAACAAAGGCGAUGGUGGAAUAUGAAUUUUCCGAAAAGUUUUUCAGCCACAAUUUCAAGUAUGAGGGACAAGGAGACGAAGCUCGAAUCGAAUAGAACAUUUGUUGCGUCAAGUAUGGCUUCAUAGACAAAAGCUCUGCCAAAAGAAAAAUGGAUGAUCAAUGAGGACAAGACAUGAAAGAGGAAUAACGCCAUUGAUGAACCUUGAGAUGUGGCAACUCGUUGAUGUUGCCCUUCAGGUCCUUCAACAAAUAAGCCAUCAAAUGUAGUUCCUACGUGGUCAAUUUCCUUAUAUAAUUGAGAUCUCUAUUUCUUCUGAUUGUACUUUCCAAUCUGACGACUCCGACGACAACACAUGUUUCUUUCUACCUUACUGUCAUAAUGGAUCUUCUACGCUACAAGCUCAAUUCGUUUUAUUUAAUUAAAUACUUCUUUAAUUAAAUUUUUACUUUUUGAUUGAACCGUUCUAUCGUGUAACCCUAUUAUCUUCCACUUAAUUGUCAAUAAUGUAAUUUUUUCAUUAAUAUUAAAUAUUUAUAAACAAUU